rnacentral:rRNA from 1 species
AUUGAACGCUGGCGGAAUGCUUUACACAUGCAAGUCGAACGAUGAACCUUAGCUUGCUAGGGGGAUUAGUGGCGAACGGGUGAGUAACAUAUCGGAACGUACCUAGUAAUGGGGGAUAACUAGUCGAAAGAUUAGCUAAUACCGCAUACGCCCUGAGGGGGAAAGUAGGGGAUCUUCGGACCUCACGUUAUUAGAGCGGCCGAUAUCUGAUUAGCUAGUUGGUGGGGUAAAGGCCUACCAAGGCGACGAUCAGUAGCUGGUCUGAGAGGACGACCAGCCACACUGGAACUGAGACACGGUCCAGACUCCUACGGGAGGCAGCAGUGGGGAAUUUUGGACAAUGGGGGCAACCCUGAUCCAGCCAUUCCGCGUGAGUGAAGAAGGCCUUCGGGUUGUAAAGCUCUUUCGCAAGGGAAGAAAACUUACAUUCUAAUAAAGUGUGAGGCUGACGGUACCUUGAUAAGAAGCACCGGCUAACUACGUGCCAGCAGCCGCGGUAA